rnacentral:rRNA from 1 species
AGCGAACGCUGGCGGCAGGCCUAACACAUGCAAGUCGAGCGCCGUAGCAAUACGGAGCGGCAGACGGGAGAGUAACACGUGGGAACGUACCCUUCAGUACGGAACAACCAAGGGAAACUUUGGCUAAUACCGUAUACGUCCGUAAGGAGAAAGAUUUAUCGCUGAAGGAUCGGCCCGCGUCUGAUUAGCUAGUUGGUGAGGUAACGGCUCACCAAGGCGACGAUCAGUAGCUGGUCUGAGAGGAUGAUCAGCCUCACUGGGACUGAGACACGGCCCAGACUCCUACGGGAGGCAGCAGUGGGGAAUAUUGGACAAUGGGCGCAAGCCUGAUCCAGCCAUGCCGCGUGGGUGAUGAAGGCCCUAGGGUUGUAAAGCCCUUGCGGCGGGGAAGAUAAUGACGGUACCCGCAGAAGAAGCCCCGGCUAACUUCGUGCCAGCAGCCGCCGCAGUAA